rnacentral:tRNA from 1 species
GGACCCGAGUAAAAGACCAUGCAAGGUAGGGGCCACGUUUACACCAUGGAUGUCAUCGGUUCGAGCCCGGUUAGGGUCCACCA